CCAUGGCGUCUGGUGACACUGCUGCCAGAGAGGAGGAGCAUAGCCUUUGAGAAUGUGAGCUCUACCUCCAGAAGCACAACAUUCAGGCACUGCUCAAAGAUUCUAUUGUGCAGUUAUGUACUGCUCAACCCGAGGGACUAAUGGCAUUCCUCAGGGAACACUUUGAGAGGCUGGAGAAGGAGGAGGCAAAACAAAUUCACAAUCUGCAGGAAGCAGGCACUUGUACAGAAUUCAGGAGAAUGAAAUCUCUCCUCCUCCACCCAACCCAGUGGUUAAAGAUCAGAGGUGACAAGGUACCGUCAGCACUGAAGUCUACAUGGAGGAAGAUGCCACAUCAUAUGUUAGAAAGAUUAUACCAAAAGAUUAUAAGAUUAUACCAAAAGCCAUUAUAAGGCAAUGUCUUUAGCCAAAGCCAUUGAAAAGAAUGUGCUGAUUUCACAUCUUGAUGAUAAUGAGAGAAGUGAUAUAUUUGAUGCCAUAUUUCCAUGUCUCCUUUAUCACUGGAGAGAGACAGUGAUUCUGCAAGGUGAUGAAGGGGAUAACUUCUAGGUGAUUGAGCAAGGAGAGAGGGAUGUCUGUGUCAAUGAUGAAUGAGCAACCAGUGUUGAAGAAGGAGGGAGCUUUGGAGAAUUUGUUUUGAUUUAUGGAACACCUAGAGUAGCCACUGUCAAAGCAAAGGCAAAUGUGAAAUGGUAGUGUAUCAACCGAGGCAGCUGUAGAAGAAUCCAUAUGGGAAGCACACUGAGAAUGUGGAAGAUGUAUGAGGAAUUCCUUAGUAAAGUGUCUAUUUUAGAGUCUCUGGAUAAGUGAAAGCAUCUUACGGUAGCUGAUACAUGGGAACCAGUCAAGUUUGAAGAUUGGCAGAAGAUUGUGGUGCAGGGAGAACCAGGGGAUGAGUUCCUUAUUAUUCUAGAGGGGCCAGCUGCUAUGCUGCAACGUUGAUAAGAAAAUGAAGAGUUUGUUGAAGUGGGAAGAUUGGGGCCUUCUGAUUAUUUUGGUGAAUUUGCAUUCCUGAUGAAUCACCCUCCUGCUGCCACAGUGGUUGUACAUGGCCCCUUGAAGUACAUUAAGCUGGACCAGCCUAGAUUUGAAUGUGCUCUUGCCCAGGCUCAGACCUCCUCAAACGAAACAUCCAGCAGUACAACAGUUUUGUGUCACUGUC
rnacentral:lncRNA from 1 species